UAAGGAAUAUUGCUCAAUGGGAGAAAUCCUGAAGCAGCAACGCCGCGUGGAGGAUGAAGGGCUUUCAGCUUGUAAACUCCUGUAAAGAAGGAAAAAAUUCCCAUUGGAUGGGAAAUGAUGGUACUUCUAAAGUAAGCCCCGGCUAACUACGUGCCAGCAGCCGCGGUAAUCAGUAGGGGGCAAGCGUUGUCCGGAUUUACUGGGUGUAAAGGGUGCUCAGGCGGAUGUGUAAGUCAGAGGUGAAAUCUCACAGCUUAACUGUGAAACUGCCUUUGAUACUGCAAGUCUAGAGUAUGGAAGAGAGUGAUGGGAUGUCUGGUGUAGCAGUGAAAUGCGUAGAUAUCAGAUAGAACACCAAUGGCGAAGGCAGUCACUUGGUCCAUUACUGACGCUAAAGCACGAAAGCGUGGGGAGCAAACA
rnacentral:rRNA from 1 species